rnacentral:rRNA from 1 species
AGUGAACGCUGGCGGUAGGCCUAACACAUGCAAGUCGAACGGCAGCACAGUAAGAGCUUGCUCUUACGGGUGGCGAGUGGCGGACGGGUGAGGAAUACAUCGGAAUCUACUUUUUCGUGGGGGAUAACGUAGGGAAACUUACGCUAAUACCGCAUACGACCUACGGGUGAAAGCAGUGGAUCUUCGGACCUUGCGCGAUUGAAUGAGCCGAUGUCGGAUUAGCUAGUUGGCGGGGUAAAGGCCCACCAAGGCGACGAUCCGUAGCUGGUCUGAGAGGAUGAUCAGCCACACUGGAACUGAGACACGGUCCAGACUCCUACGGGAGGCAGCAGUGGGGAAUAUUGGACAAUGGUCGCAAGCCUGAUCCAGCCAUACCGCGUGGGUGAAGAAGGCCUUCGGGUUGUAAAGCCCUUUUGUUGGGAAAGAAAAGCAGCAGGUUAAUACCCCGCUGUUCUGACGGUACCCAAAGAAUAAGCACCGGCUAACUUCGUG